rnacentral:Y_RNA from 1 species
GGCUGGUACAAUGGUAGUGGGUUAUCAGAACUUAUUAACAUUUGCAUCAACAAAAUUGGUAUACAACCGCCCCCCCCCGCCAAUGCUAAAUUUGGCUUUAU